UACGUAGGGGGCUAGCGUUGUCCGGAUUUAUUGGGCGUAAAGAGCGUGUAGGCGGCCAUUUAGGUCCGGUGUGAAAACUCGAGGCUUAACCUCGAGAUGUCAUCGGAAACCAUUUGGCUAGAGUCCGGAAGAGGAGAGUGGAAUUCCUGGUGUAGCGGUGAAAUGCGCAGAUAUCAGGAAGAACACCAAUGGCGAGAGCAGCUCUCGGGGACGGUACUGAGGCUGAGACGCGAAAGCGUGGGGAGCGAACAGG
rnacentral:rRNA from 1 species